GCAUCGGUAGCUCAGUGGUAGAGCAAGCGGCUGCAGUCAGCCCGACACAUCGGGUUGCUUCCGCUGGGUCGCGCGUUCAAUUCGCGCCCGGUGCU
rnacentral:tRNA from 1 species